UACGAAGGGGGCUAGCGUUGUUCGGAAUUACUGGGCGUAAAGCGCGCGCAGGCGGUCUUCCAAGUCAGUGGUGAAAGCCCGGAGCUCAACUCCGGAACUGCCAUUGAAACUGUUAGACUUGAGGACGAGAGAGGUGAGUGGAAUUCCCAGUGUAGAGGUGAAAUUCGUAGAUAUUGGGAAGAACACCGGUGGCGAAGGCGGCUCACUGGCUCGUAUCUGACGCUCAGGCGCGACAGCGUGGGGAUCAAACAGG
rnacentral:rRNA from 1 species